rnacentral:lncRNA from 1 species
ACUCAACUCAACCUGGAAACAACUCAACCUAGAAACAACACGGUGAAGUUGGGCUCACAUAUUUUCCCACCGAUAGACAAGAGAUUACCAGAAAAGGGGUGAGGAAUCCAGAGAGAAUGUCUGCAUAAGAAGGAGGGUGGAGAUUUCUUACUGAACUAAAGGCUUCAAGAAUUGGCAAAUACCUGCUCAACUUUUGUAUUUCUGAUGACUGGAUGACUCCACCUGGACCCGAGACUCAUGACUCACCCAGUCCUGUGGCCCCACCCAGAAGUGGACUCAGAGCAAGAGGACCAUUUUCCACACCCCAAUGAGUGCAUCCCCAACCAAUCAGCAGCACCUGUUCCCUAGCCCCCUGACCACCAAACUCUCCUUGAGAAACCGUAGCCUCCAAAUUUUCUGGGAGGCUGAUUUGAGUAAUAAUAAAACUUUGGUCUCCUAUGUAGCUGGCUCUAUGUGUAUUAAACUCUUCCUCUAUUGCAAUUCCCCUGCCUUGGUAAGUCGG